CCUACGGGAGGCAGCAGUGAGGAAUAUUGGUCAAUGGGCGGAAGCCUGAACCAGCCAUGCAGCGUGCAGGAUGACGGCCCUACGGGUUGUAAACUGCUUUUAUACGGGAAUAACGCGCCUUACGUGUAGGGCUUUGCAUGUACCGUAUGAAUAAGGGCAGGCUAAUUCCGGGCCAGCAGCCCCGGUAAUACGGAAGGUACGGGCGUUAUCCGGAUUUAUUGGGUUUAAAGGGAGCGUAGGCCGCAUGUCAAGCUAGCUGUGAAAUGUCCGGGCUCAACCCGGGCCUUGCAGCGCGAACUGGCGUGCUUGAGUCCGCGGAAGGCAGGCAGAAUUCGUCGUGUAGCGGUGAAAUGCUUAGAUAUGUCGAAGAACCCCGAUUGCGAAGGCAGCUUGCUGCAGCGGAACUGACGCUGAUGCUCGAAAGCGCGGGUAUCGAACAGGAUUAGAUACCCUGGUAGUC
rnacentral:rRNA from 1 species